CUUUUCUCCCAUGCUACAUUUUCAUUGUAUGUUGGCUUCAGCUCUGAUCUGUAUCAUCUUCCCUCUGUGACCCAAGCAAGAAGGGAAGAGCAUCUGUCCAAAAUAUUUUGCCAGUCAUUGAGUCAGAAGACAUCUCUCUGGAGGUGACCAUCACUGUUACUCCACUCCAAUUUUAUUGGCCAAAGAAAGUCACAUAAUCUGAGUUCAAAAUGUCAGGAAAAUCAAAAGCAGGUCUCCUUUACAUGGCAAGGAAAGCAAUCGACCUUCUCUAUCGUUCCUCUGUUGAGAGAUGUAUUGCAGCAAAAGAGCCUCUGUCUUCUAGUGAACCUGGACCAAGACACAGGGCUUCUUGGAAAAAUGACUGAUUACUGGUCUGCAGAAAGAAAUGCACGUGAUGAGCCUGGGACAUCUUAUUGUGCGAGACACUAAUGGUGUCAUAUCAAAAGGACACAGGAGCAAAUUUGAAGGGGCUCCAACUGGCCAAAGCCCCCAGAGAACUGUGGGUAAUUUGAGGACUGGCUCCACCUGUAACGGGCCUGUCGACUCCGGCGCCAGCGAGAAAAAGGAGCCGAAGCGUCACGAGCUGAAAUCGGCUCCCGGGGGUUUCCGAUGAAGGGGUGUUUCUGGGCAAACCCCGAGAGCCACAGAAGCCGAGGAGAGCUUCACCGAAAGGUCCAGAGGCGGGCUACUACCCACUGCGGGAGACGGUCCUCAGCCCUCGCCGAACGCUUCCCGCCAGAGGGCCGGGGAGGAACCUCCUGCGCCAUGACUGCACCGCGCUCCGCCAGCCGCCGGGGCCCCCGGGAAAUGAAGCCAGGCAGCUGCCAGCCGGCCUCCUAACUCCUCCUUCCUCUCCGGUAAGGAUGGCGCUCUCCUCGCGUGUUCCUCAGGA